CGGCGCCGGCAUCACCGCCGCUAUACGCUCCGACCUGCGCCGGCAAGCUGCGCAGAACAAUUCCAAGGGCUAAAGCACAACGCCGAGAAGGAGUCCGCUUAGAAUACAGCAUUUUUAGGAUGCGAUGUUAUGAUCUCUGCAAACGACGCACGAAAAUUUAAAACCUAGUAAUACAUUUUACGUAGAGAAAUAUAGUAGACAAGUUGAAAGUGAUGUUUUUAAUUCCUGUUUAAGGAAUGUAGAUUAUACAAGACAAUACAUAUUCAAACACUUAGGGUAGGUACUGUUUAAUAGAGAUGUCUCCAUUAUUUUGAAUCGAUUUAUAACAUAUAAUGCCUAUUCCACAUAAAUCAACCUUUUAAUAUAUGAUACUAGUGUGUUUGUUAAAUAACAUUCCAAGGUAGAUGUUUUUUUAAUGUCGUUUUUCUAGUAAAUUUUACCAAUUUUAAAAAUCGAUUCAAAUUAAACGGACCUAUUUUGUGCAUCAAAUAGUGUUUUACUCUUGUAAUAAUAUAUUUAAACACGUAUUGUUAGAAAACGUUGAAAAAUUAAGACAAAAGUUUAGAAAAAUGUAUCCUUUUAUGGAUUUUUUUGUGCAUUUUAAAUAGGAAUUUAGUUUUUUUUCUAUAACGUUUACAAACAGAGCGCAAAGUGUUUAAAAUAUCAUUUUUUUUUAUUUCAUUGCUAACGUUUUACGCACAAUUUUUUUCUAUUAUUUUGUUUUUAAAUAUCUUUGACAGCAAUACACCAAAGCAAUGUAAAUGAAAGUGUUUAACACAAUGACAAGAGACAAAGUAAUUUUAGAUUUCAACUAUUUAAUGUAAUAAUUAAAUAUUUAUGUUUUAAACUCGCAGCGACAGACGUAAUAUAAUAUAUUAGAUUUAGAGAAUAGUUUAAGGAGCUAUAUAAUGAACGUGACAAUAAAUGAAUGACUCGAAAAAUACAUUUAAAAAUAUUUUACCAACUUUGUAGCCUCAAGUGUUUUGGUAUCUGUGUAGUAGUACUAGGUGAAUGCAGAAAUGAUGCCCGGUUUACGCUUGGACAGUACAGUGGGUCAGUAGCGCUCUAUAACUAGAUUGGCAAUCAACUUGCAUAGUAAACACUAAAUGGCGCUAGUAAGUCCAUACAAUUUAUCACUGGCUGUCGCAACCGUCCAACUGUACCGGCCAAGUGUGAACCGGACAUGAUCUUGUACAAUUGUGUAGCCAUAUAAAAAAUAUAUAAAAUAUUAAUGUUCUUGCCUUGAUGCUAUUUAUGGCAAAUAAAAUUGCAUAACAAUUCUUUUUAGGUAUUAGGUUGUGGUUGUUAAUUUUUUUUUGUUAUUUUUUUACACUUUAAAAUAUUUUCCUUAUUCUAAGAAAAGAUAAUUGAGGCUUCGGCCAUGUUUAAAUUAACUUUAUAUGUAAAUUACACCUAUAUCGAUAGAUAGAAAAAUCUGAUUAUACAAAUUUGGACAAUUCAUUAAAUUUUAUGUAUGUCUAUCUCACCUUUAGUUACAAUUUGUUAUUUUCUAAAAAUAUUAAAGUUUUCCAUUUUCCUAAUCGCACUUUUUUAAUGCCUAUGCAUAAAUUUAUGUUUCGCCUAGCGCCUAUAAUUGGAUCAACUAUAAUAAUAAAGCAAAAUAUAAACAGUUGUCAAUCUUUUAAAUUAAUAUUUUAAUAGCUUGCAAUAUGUAUUUUAAGGUGUAUUUAUUUACGGCCUACCUAAGGAUAUAGUAAUCCUGUGACCUGUUUUUCCGCAACAUCCCAAGGAUUUUUAUAUUUCUAGUCAGGCUAUAUCUUACAUCAUGUGAUGAAAUUCAGUAUUAUACACUGUUUAGCAAUAUAUUCUUUUAAGUCAGUAAUCAGUUAGUUAACUUACAAAGGUGAUGUAAAAUAGGAAAUACAUAAUAAAGUUUAAAAUGUGAAAUCAAUUGUCAACUUAUAAAUUGAUGUAUGGUAGUAAGUAAACAAUUUACGAAAUAAAUGUUUGUUAAACUCGAA